ACUGACGAGCCUGGUACAUAUGCAUGCCCUGCUGGAAAAUUCUAUUGUCGCAAUGCAGGACAUGUUUCACUUUUCUUAUUUUCUUCUAGAGUAAAUGGUGCUAUCUGUGAUUGUUGCGAUGGGAGUGAUGAAUAUGAUGGUAAGGUAAAGUGCCCAAAUACAUGCUGGGAGGCUGGCAAAGUGGCCAGAGACAAGCUGAAGAAAAAAAUUUG